rnacentral:rRNA from 1 species
AGCGAACGCUGGCGGCAGGCCUAACACAUGCAAGUCGAACGAAGUCUUCGGACUUAGUGCGGACGGGUGAGUAACACGUGGGAACGUGCCUUUAGGUUCGGAAUAACUCAGGGAAACUUGUGCUAAUACCGAAUGUGCCCUUCGGGGGAAAGAUUUAUCGCCUUUAGAGCGGCCCGCGUCUGAUUAGCUAGUUGGUGAGGUAAAGGCUCACCAAGGCUACGAUCAGUAGCUGGUCUGAGAGGAUGACCAGCCACAUUGGGACUGAGACACGGCCCAAACUCCUACGGGAGGCAGCAGUGGGGAAUCUUGCGCAAUGGGCGAAAGCCUGACGCAGCCAUGCCGCGUGGAUGAUGAAGGUCUUAGGAUUGUAAAAUCCUUUCACCGGUGAAGAUAAUGACUGUAGCCGGAGAAGAGGCCCCGGCUAACUUCGUGCCAGCAGCCGCGGUAACAC